CGAUGCUGGCUGCGCAGAGAGGGGAGACUGAGUUUUUCCUCGCGCGCCCCCUCGUGGUGGGAGGGAAAUCUAUAGCAAACGUCGCCAGUCCUCGGAAAAGGGAAGGACGGAGUGAAAGAACCCAUCCGCUCAGAUUCAGAAAGUCGUUUCCUAGGUGCAGUACAGUACCCUGUUGAACAUCACGGCCUCUUCAGUCAGAACCUCCCGACCUACACCACGCCAGCUGCAAGGUCUCGGACAAGCCUUUUCAUCACCCCGUGCCCCGCUUCCUUGUCCGUGAAAUGGGAUUGACAACGUUGCUGCACUUUAGGGUUGCCCUGAUGAGAGGAAACAGAGGUUUCAGUGGAGCCCAGGGCCUCAGGAGCAGGCGGGCGUGUCUCAGAGAGUGCACGCACCCUAUAGAAAAAUCUCUCUGGGAAAACAAACAAACAAAAACCAAGUAUGCGGCCAUUUGUUACAGCGGCAACAGGAAAUUUAUACAGAAAACGACUUGCCCAAGGCCGCACCACUAGGAAAUGGAGGUCAAAUUAAAAUAAAUAAACGAACA